rnacentral:rRNA from 1 species
UACGUAGGUGGCAAGCGUUAUCCGGAUUUAUUGGGCGUAAAGGGAACGCAGGCGGUCUUUUAAGUCUGGUGUGAAAGCCUUCGGCUUAACCGGAGUUGUGCAUUGGAAACUGGGAGACUUGAGUGCAGAAGAGGAGAGUGGAACUCCAUGUGUAGCGGUGAAAUGCGUAGAUAUAUGGAAGAAAACCAGUGGCGAAAGCGGCUCUCUGGUCUGUAACUGACGCUGAGGUUCGAAAGCGUGGGUAGCAAACAGG